UGGCCUGUAGGCCUCGAAACGGGACAU
rnacentral:sRNA from 1 species